CCNUAUACAUGCAAGUCGAGCGCAUCCUUCGGGAUGAGCGGCGGACGGGUGAGUAACGCGUGGGAAUGUGCCCUUCUCUACGGAAUAGCCACUGGAAACGGUGAGUAAUACCGUAUACGCCCUCAGGGGGAAAGAUUUAUCGGAGAAGGAUCAGCCCGCGUUAGAUUAGGUAGUUGGUGGGGUAACGGCCUACCAAGCCUACGAUCUAUAGCUGGUUUUAGAGGAUGAUCAGCCACACUGGGACUGAGACACGGCCCAGACUCCUACGGGAGGCAGCAGUAGGGAAUCUUGGACAAUGGGGGCAACCCUGAUCCAGCCAUGCCGCGUGAGUGAAGAAGGCCCUAGGGUCGUAAAGCUCUUUCGCCUGUGAUGAUAAUGACAGUAGCAGGUAAAGAAACCCCGGCUAACUCCGUGCCAGCAGCCGCGGUAAUACGGAGGGGGUUAGCGUUGUUCGGAAUUACUGGGCGUAAAGCGCGCGUAGGCGGAUUGGAAAGUUGGGGGUGAAAUCCCGGGGCUCAACCCCGGAACUGCCUUCAAAACUCCCAGUCUAGAGUUCGAGAGAGGUGAGUGGAAUUCCGAGUGUAGAGGUGAAAUUCGUAGAUAUUCGGAAGAACACCAGUGGCGAAGGCGGCUCACUGGCUCGAUACUGACGCUGAGGUGCGAAAGUGUGGGGAGCAAACAGGAUUAGAUACCCUGGUAGUCCACACCGUAAAACGAUGAAUGCCAGUCGUCGGAUAGUAUACUAUUCGGUGACACACCUAACGGGAUUAAGCAUUCCGCCUGGGGAGUACGGUCGCAAGAUUAAAACUCAAAUGAAUUGACGGGNG
rnacentral:rRNA from 1 species